GUGCCAGCCGCCGCGGUAAGACAGAGGUGGCAAGCGUUGUUCGGAUUUACUGGGCGUAAAGGGUGCGUAGGUGGUUAGGUAAGACCUGUGGGAAAGACCUGGGCUUAACCCAGGAAGGUCGCAGGUGACUGCCUAGCUAGAGGGCGGGAGAGGAGCGCGGAAUUCCCGGUGUAGCGGUGAAAUGCGUAGAGAUCGGGAGGAAGGCCGGUGGCGAAGGCGGCGCUCUGGAACGUUCCUGACACUGAGGCACGAAAGCGUGGGGAGCAAACAGGAUUAGAUACCCGCGUAGUCC
rnacentral:rRNA from 1 species